ACGGAGCAUGGCAACAGCUCGCUCGCACAAUUAUGAGCCAAUAUACGGCCGAACCUUCUCAAGCUGUUUCCAGAGAGUUGUGUUUUACUGUGAUGAUAAACAUGUAGGAUUUAAUCAUUGAGAUUAUUGUUUCCAGGCAGAAAGAGGCUGAUGAGAAAGACGUGCCAUACAUGAGGAGCAAUGGAGCGGCAGAAACCUACAAACCACAACAGUGAGCAUCACAGGAUGUAAACUGCAGGACCGGAGUGGGUCAUCAUCUCAGAUCCAGGGGUGGACAUCAGUGGUCGCUGCUUUCAGGACGAUGGGAGAUUUGAUAUUUUGUGGCUGUCAUUGUUUUUUUUUUUCUCUCAUUCAUCUGAUUCUGAUUCAUUUGAACGACUCACGCCAAGACUCUCCCAGCAUGUGGAGUAAAAUAACAUGAAGUGGGCUGGAAAAACAAUGAGGCCCUGCAGAUGCGCUCGCUGGAGUAAAUUCCAACGUGGAAGAUGAAACCUGACCAUUGCUGCGAAAUCAUCAUCUGCUGGAGAACCACAUUGGGACUUCAAUAUAUGAUCAGAGUUUAAAGCGAUAGAAACAUCUUCUGUGCCUCCACAAGAAAAAAAACAGCCACGACAAUUUCUUUGAUUUCAUGUUUUCACGACAAAUGUGAUGAGUGAACGUUUGAGGGCGGGAUGAGGAUUGACUGGAUGUAUCAGCUCAUAAAUGAAGCAUGUGUUGCACUGUGCACGGCAGCCACGACUAAUCCCGUGAAUCCUGUGAAGGUGUGUGUUAUUGCAACAGCGGAAACUCACAGACUGAAUGAAACAAUAAAAUGCUUCUGUGUGCCUCUCAAUUAUUGUUCCUUAAUCACACAACGAAUUCCCUGAUAAUCAUUCAAAUGUUGCAAAAAUUACAUCAGUGAAGUUUUCCUUUUUCACCGCAGGCGGCUGUGAUUUGAAAUGGUGACUGUUGCUCUACCUCCCUCCAAAUUGCAUUUAGAUCAUGUAACAGUAAAUUAAGACGAAUUCCUUCCAAGUAAAAAAUGUUCUUGGAUUCUGAA